rnacentral:tRNA from 1 species
GGUUAUGGCUCAGAGGUAGAGCGCUCGCCUUGCAAGUGCAAGGCCCUGGGUUCAAUCCUCAGCACCA